rnacentral:rRNA from 1 species
CAGCAGCCGCGGGAAUACGGAGGAUCCAAGCGUUAUCCGGAAUCAUUGGGUUUAAAGGGUCCGUAGGCGGUUUAGUAAGUCAGUGGUGAAAGCCCAUCGCUCAACGGUGGAACGGCCAUUGAUACUGCUGAACUUGAAUUAUUAGGAAGUAACUAGAAUAUGUAGUGUAGCGGUGAAAUGCUUAGAGAUUACAUGGAAUACCAAUUGCGAAGGCAGGUUACUACUAAUUGAUUGACGCUGAUGGACGAAAGCGUGGGGAGCGAACAGGAUUAGAUACCCCGGUAGUCCCUGUCUCUUAUAC